GACGAACGCUGGCGGCGUGCUUAACACAUGCAAGUCGAACGGAAAGGCCCUGCUUUUGUGGGGUGCUCGAGUGGCGAACGGGUGAGUAACACGUGAGUAACCUGCCCUUGACUUUGGGAUAACUUCAGGAAACUGGGGCUAAUACCGGAUAGGAGCUCCUGCUGCAUGGUGGGGGUUGGAAAGUUUCGGCGGUUGGGGAUGGGCUCGCGGCUUAUCAGCUUGUUGGUGGGGUAGGGGCUCACCAAGGCUUUGACGGGUAGCCGGCCUGAGAGGGUGACCGCCCACAUGGGGACGGAGAUACGGCCCAAACCCCGACGGGGGGCAGGAGUGGGGAAUAUGAGAAAAGGGGCGAAAGCUGGAUCGAGCAACGCCGCGUGGGGGAAGACGCCUUUCGGGGUGUAAACCGUUUUUGCUGGGGAAAAAGGGGAGGGACCGGAAAUGGUUAAAAAGGCCCCGCUAAACUCGGG
rnacentral:rRNA from 1 species